UAUCUUCUAAUUGCGACUUCGUGGACUCUAGCGGCUUUCAUCUUUGUCCAGGCGUACAAUUCGCUUCUCUUCUCCUACGUUAUCGCGCCAGUCCAUCAGCCAUUAAUCCAUUCCGUCUACGACAUAGCGGAAAGUAGCGACAUCAAUCUACUCACGAAGAAAUCGGGGACCAUAGACACUUUGUUAUCGAAUGUGAAUAAUACAGGCCUGUACAAGAAGCUAGGCAAACGACUCGAUGCUCUUCCCAACUCCCGAUGUCCUCUUGUGUCAGAGUGCAUUCAGCUGAUUACACCGGGAUCGAGGAACGUUUUCAUUGAUGUAUGACUUAAACUAUAUCUUCUAAAUAGAUGCUUCAUACAGAUAAGAAGAUAAGCACAGAACUAAUCGCAAACAUUUUUUUUUUUUCAAAUCCUAGGCCGCUAUUUAUCAUUUAGAUUCGAUAAAAGCAGAUUUUGAAAAGACUGGCAAGUGCAAUCUGCAGCUGGCAAAAAAUUAUUUCUAUAGUGUUAUUCCAACAUUUGCCCUACGGAAAAAUAGUCCCUACACUCAAAGCAUUAGUCAAGGGUAAGCAAAUCAAAGGUAAUUAUUUUAAAAGACUGGUUGUAUUUAAAAAAAAAACUGUUUUCAACCAAAAAGGCUAUUGGAGCUCCAGGAAAUGGGUCUGAUCAAACACUGGGACCUGUGGUUCCGCCCCAUGCCUCGACAAUGUAUGGAAACUAUUAAAAGCGGCUACACAACCCCGACAAACAAACAUACCCCUCUUUCCCUCAAGAACUUGACUGGCGCAUUUAUCGUUCUACUAGUCGGGUUUACUCUCUCCCUUUUGGCUUUCCUUUGCGAACAAGUCGUUUCGAUCCCUGAACGUCACCGCCGUCGACGUAAUAAGUUACAACAAAUGCCACAACAAGUCACUGAAGGAUCACCUAAUACUGCUGAUGAAGAAGAAAACGAGGCAACGAGCCUAUAAAGUAAACAGCAGUUGAUGUUGACCAAUCGAACUUUUGAUUCUGUUUGCAUUACUACAAAGGAAAAAGAGUAAAUAACCAGAGUAAACUGUUUAAAGCGUUUUCAUCAAAA